AUCUACAGCCAUACCACCCUGAAUGCACCCAAUUUUGUCUGAUCUUGGAAGCUAAGCAGGGUCGGGCCUGGUUAGUCCUUGGAUAGGAGAAUCAUGUAGAAGCAGGGC
rnacentral:rRNA from 1 species